rnacentral:rRNA from 1 species
CGCGUAACACGUAAGCAACCUGCCCCAAAGACCGGACAACGUUCCGAAAGGAGCGCUAAUACCGGAUGUGCCCAUCGGGUGACAUCGCCUGUUGAGUAAAUCGAGCAAUCGGCUUUGGGAGGGGCUUGCGGCCUAUCAGCUAGAUGGUGGGGUAACGGCCUACCAUGGCGACGACGGGUAGCUGGUCUGAGAGGAUGGUCAGCCGGAUUGGGACUGAGAUACGGCCCAG